GGGAGCUUGCUCCCUGAUGUUAGCGGCGGACGGGUGAGUAACACGUGGGUAACCUGCCUGUAAGACUGGGAUAACUCCGGGAAACCGGGGCUAAUACCGGAUGGUUGUCUGAACCGCAUGGUUCAGACAUAAAAGGUGGCUUCGGCUACCACUUACAGAUGGACCCGCGGCGCAUUAGCUAGUUGGUGAGGUAACGGCUCACCAAGGCGACGAUGCGUAGCCGACCUGAGAGGGUGAUCGGCCACACUGGGACUGAGACACGGCCCAGACUCCUACGGGAGGCAGCAGUAGGGAAUCUUCCGCAAUGGACGAAAGUCUGACGGAGCAACGCCGCGUGAGUGAUGAAGGUUUUCGGAUCGUAAAGCUCUGUUGUUAGGGAAGAACAAGUGCCGUUCAAAUAGGGCGGCACCUUGACGGUACCUAACCAGAAAGCCACGGCUAACUACGUGCCAGCAGCCGCGGUAAUACGUAGGUGGCAAGCGUUGUCCGGAAUUAUUGGGCGUAAAGGGCUCGCAGGCGGUUUCUUAAGUCUGAUGUGAAAGCCCCCGGCUCAACCGGGGAGGGUCAUUGGAAACUGGGGAACUUGAGUGCAGAAGAGGAGAGUGGAAUUCCACGUGUAGCGGUGAAAUGCGUAGAGAUGUGGAGGAACACCAGUGGCGAAGGCGACUCUCUGGUCUGUAACUGACGCUGAGGAGCGAAAGCGUGGGGAGCGAACAGGAUUAGAUACCCUGGUAGUCCACGCCGUAAACGAUGAGUGCUAAGUGUUAGGGGGUUUCCGCCCCUUAGUGCUGCAGCUAACGCAUUAAGCACUCCGCCUGGGGAGUACGGUCG
rnacentral:rRNA from 1 species